UACGGAAGGCAGCAGUGGGGAAUAUUGCACAAUGGGCGCAAGCCUGAUGCAGCCAUGCCGCGUGUAUGAAGAAGGCCUUCGGGUUGUAAAGUACUUUCAGUCGUGAGGAAGGUGUUAAGGUUAAUAACCUUAGCAAUUGACGUUAGCGACAGAAGAAGCACCGGCUAACUCCGUGCCAGCAGCCGCGGUAAUACGGAGGGUGCGAGCGUUAAUCGGAAUUACUGGGCGUAAAGGGCACGCAGGCGGUUAAUUAAGUUGGAUGUGAAAUCCCCGGGCUUAACCUGGGAAUGGCAUUCAAGACUAGGUUGCUAGAGUCUUGUAGAGGGGGUAGAAUUCCAUGUGUAGCGGUGAAAUGCGUAGAGAUGUGGAGGAAUACCGGGUGGCGAAAGGCGGCCCCUGGGACAAAGACUGACGCUCAUGUGCGAAAAGCGUGGGGAGCAAACAGGGAUUAGAUACC
rnacentral:rRNA from 1 species